AUUUAGACAGAUGAAAAGAAAUACCCUAAGCAUUUCAAGACAAAAAAGAGUUGUACAACAUUUUCAAUGUUUACAUGUAAACAACAACUACAUGUUCAAGGUAACUAUCAAAAAUUGAUUGAAAAACAAAAUCAUGUAGUUUUCUCUUCAUAACUUGUGAAGGAAGAAAAUUAUAAAUAUUGAACUCUAUGGAACCAACUAGCAAUCUUUUUAUUUACGAUGACUAUCGAUAUCGGACAUUAUCUUAGGCAAUUUGUUCUUCUUCUGUUGAUAUUUAGCUAAUGAAUACCACACCCCACCAGCUGUGUUGAUCACUAAACCAGUGACAUUCAAAGCAUGUACCUCUACUCCUCCCAACAGGACAAAACCAAGUGUCGUAGAUCCAACUCCUUUGAGGACUCCGACAAUUGUGGUAGUUAAAGCCGAGUUAACGAUGGUGCACAAGAACAUCGUAUAGUUCAAGA
rnacentral:misc_RNA from 1 species